AUUGAACGCUGGCGGCAUGCCUUACACAUGCAAGUCGAACGGCAGCACGGGAGCAAUCCUGGUGGCGAGUGGCGAACGGGUGAGUAAAGUAUCGGAACGUGCCCAGUCGUGGGGGAUAACGUAGCGAAAGUUACGCUAAUACCGCAUACGAUCUAUGGAUGAAAGCGGGGGAUCGCAAGACCUCGCGCGAUUGGAGCGGCCGAUAUCAGAUUAGGUAGUUGGUGGGGUAAAGGCUCACCAAGCCGACGCUCUGUAGAUGGUCUGAGAGGACGACCAGCCACACUGGGAGUGAGACACGGCGCAGCCUCCUACGGGAGGCAGCAGUGGGGAAUUGUGGACAAGGGGCGAAAGCCUGAUCCAGCCAUGCCGCGGGCAGGAUGAAGGCCUUCGGGUUGUAAACUGCUUUUGUACGGAACGAAAAGGUUUGGCCUAAUAAGCUGAGCUCAUGACGGUACCGUAAGAAUAAGCACCGGCUAACUACGUGCCAGCCGCCGCCGUAA
rnacentral:rRNA from 1 species